CCAAAGGCUCUUUUAAGAGCCACCUAUCUAUUCAUUUAAAAAGCAA
rfam:Scleropages formosus scaffold24166, whole genome shotgun sequence.